AACGAACGCUGGCGGCAGGCCUAACACAUGCAAGUCGAACGCUCGUAGCAAUACGGGAGAGGCAGACGGGUGAGUAACGAGUGGGAACGUACCCUUUGGUUCGGAACAACUCCGGGAAACUGGAGCUAACAGCGGAUAAGCCCUACGGGGGAAAGAUUUAUCGCGGGAAGAUCGGCCAGCGUCUGAUUGGAUAGUUGGUGGGGUAAUGGCCCAGCAAGGCGACGAUCAGUAGCUGGUCUGGGAGGAUGAUCAGCCACACUGGGACUGAGCCACGGCCCAGACUCCUACGGGAGGCAGCAGUGGGUAAUAUUGGACAAUGGGCGCAAGCCUGAUCCAGCCAUGCCGCGUGAGUGAUGAAGGCCUUAGGGUUGUAAAGCUCUUUCGCGCGCGACGAUAAUGACGGUAGCGCGAGAAGAAGCCCCGGCUAACUUCGUGCCAGCCGCCGCAGUAAAAC
rnacentral:rRNA from 1 species